CAUAUUAUGUUGAUAAAUAAGUGUUAUGUUUCAAAUUAUGUGAAUAAAUUAAUAAAAAAAAAUUAUAUUAUAUAUGUUAACAUAUUAAUAAUAUAAAAUAUAAUACUUUAAAAUGAUUUGCAGUGUACUUGUUUAUUUGUAUGUUACAUAUAAAUUGAUUUCUGUAUUCACUAGAAUUGAUUUGAUUUAUUACACGUAAUCUUCGCAUGGUCAAUUAAUAUUAUUCUAAUAUUACAAUUAUAUCAUACAAUAAGAAGGUUAAUACUUUUUUUUUUCUAAUGUGUUUUUAUUUUAUAGUGCAGAUGAU
rnacentral:lncRNA from 1 species